UACGAGUGCUUCAAGCGUUAUCCGGAAUCAUUGGGCGUAAAGGGUGUGUAGGCGGUUAUGUUAGUCUCCCGUUAAAUCUUUCGGCUCAACCGAGAGUCCGCGGGGGAAACGGCAUGACUAAGAGGACGGAAGAGGUCUCUGGAACUCAUGGUGUAGCGGUGAAAUGCGUUGAUAUCAUGGGGAACACCAAAAGCGAAGGCAAGAGACUGGUCCGCUCCUGACGCUGAAACACGAAAGCGUGGGUCGCGAAUGGG
rnacentral:rRNA from 1 species